UACGUAGGGGGCAAGCGUUAUCCGGAUUUACUGGGUGUAAAGGGAGCGUAGACGGCUAAUCAAGUCAGAAGUGAAAACCCAGGGCUCAACUUUGGGAGUGCUUUUGAAACUGAGUAGCUAGAGUGCAGGAGAGGUAAGCGGAAUUCCUAGUGUAGCGGUGAAAUGCGUAGAUAUUAGGAGGAACACCAGUGGCGAAGGCGGCUUACUGGACUGUAACUGACGCUGAGGCUCGAAAGCGUGGGGAGCAAACAGG
rnacentral:rRNA from 1 species